UACGUAGGAUGCAAGCGUUGUCCGGAAUUAUUGGGCGUAAAGAGCGCGCAGGCGGUAUGACAAGUCAGAUGUGAAAGAGGCCGGCUUAACCGGCAAGGGUCAUUUGAAACUGUCAAACUAGAGUGCAGCAGAGGAUAGUGGAAUUCCCGGUGUAGUGGUGAAAUGCGUAGAUAUCGGGGAGGAACACCAGUGGCGAAGGCGAGUCUCUGGACAUUUCCUGACGCUGAGGGCACGAAAGC
rnacentral:rRNA from 1 species